UGCAGUCGAGCGACGGAUAAGGAGCUUGCUCCUUUGAAGUUAGCGGCGGACGGGUGAGUAACACGUGGGUAACCUACCUAUAAGACUGGGAUAACUUCGGGAAACCGGAGCUAAUACCGGAUAACAUUUAGAACCGCAUGGUUCUAAAGUGAAAGAUGGUUUUGCUAUCACUUAUAGAUGGACCCGCGCCGUAUUAGCUAGUUGGUAAGGUAACGGCUUACCAAGGCGACGAUACGUAGCCGACCUGAGAGGGUGAUCGGCCACACUGGAACUGAGACACGGUCCAGACUCCUACGGGAGGCAGCAGUAGGGAAUCUUCCGCAAUGGGCGAAAGCCUGACGGAGCAACGCCGCGUGAGUGAUGAAGGGUUUCGGCUCGUAAAACUCUGUUAUUAGGGAAGAACAAAUGUGUAAGUAACUGUGCACAUCUUGACGGUACCUAAUCAGAAAGCCACGGCUAACUACGUGCCAGCAGCCGCGGUAAUACGUAGGUGGCAAGCGUUAUCCGGAAUUAUUGGGCGUAAAGCGCGCGUAGGCGGUUUCUUAAGUCUGAUGUGAAAGCCCACGGCUCAACCGUGGAGGGUCAUUGGAAACUGGGAAACUUGAGUGCAGAAGAGGAAAGUGGAAUUCCAUGUGUAGCGGUGAAAUGCGCAGAGAUAUGGAGGAACACCAGUGGCGAAGGCGACUUUCUGGUCUGUAACUGACGCUGAUGUGCG
rnacentral:rRNA from 1 species